rnacentral:misc_RNA from 1 species
GAUGAAGAACGCAGCGAAAUGCGAUAAGCAAUGUGAAUUGCAGAAUUCAGUGAAUCAUCGAAUCUUUGAACGCACAUUGCGCCCGGUAGUAUUCUGCCGGGCAUGCCUGUUCGAGCGUCAUUUCAACCAUCAAGCCCCAGCGCUUGUGUUGGGGGCCUGCGGCUGCCGCAGCCCCCUAAAAGCAGUGGCGGGCUCGCUAUCACACCGAGUGCAGUAGUUCAUCUUCUCUCCGGUCUUGUGAGGCGGGUUCCGGCCGUGAAACACCCCACUACAUUCAAGGUUGACCUCGGAUCAGGUAGGAAUACCCGCUGAACUUAAGCAUAUCAAUAAGCGGAGGA